rnacentral:rRNA from 1 species
GACGUAGGGCGCGAGCGUUGUCCGGAUUCAUUGGGCGUAAAGGGUGCGUAGGUGGCGCGCUAAGUCAGGUGUGAAAUUUCGGAGCUUAACUCCGAAACUGCAUUUGAUACUGGCGUGCUUGAGGACUGGAGAGGAGACUGGAAUUCAUGGUGUAGCAGUGAAAUGCGUAGAGAUCAUGAGGAAGACCAGUGGCGAAGGCGGGUCUCUGGACAGUUCCUGACACUGAGGCACGAAGGCCAGGGGAGCAAACGGG